AUUGAACGCUGGCGGCAGGCCUAACACAUGCAAGUCGAACGAGUGGCGGACGGGUGAGUAAUAUCUGGGAAACUGCCCGCUGGAGGGGGAUAACUACUGGAAACGGUAGCUAAUAUCGCAUACCAUCGGAUGUGCCCCGAUGGGGUUAGCUAGUGGGUGGGGUAACGGCUCACCUAGGCGCCGAUCCCUAGCUGGUCUGAGAGGAUGACCAGCCACACUGGAACUGAGACACGGUCCAGACUCCUACGGGAGGCAGCAGUGGGGAAUAUUGCACAAUGGGCGCAAGCCUGAUGCAGCCAUGCCGCGUGUAUGAAGAAGGCCUUCGGGUUGUAAAGUACUUUCAGCGAGGAGGCGUUACUCGCAGAAGAAGCACCGGCUAACUCCGUGCCAGCAGCCGCGGUAAUAC
rnacentral:rRNA from 1 species